rnacentral:rRNA from 1 species
AUGGAGCAAGUAGAGAGUAGCGCGCAGGAGGAGCUCAGCCUCGAGCUCACUCUGGGCUUUGCUGUGUGCGUGACGACGGCCCCGCCCCUCCCCCGCUUCUUCUCAUGCGUCUACUGCGACCAAAAGUUCGGCACCGCGCAAGCGCACGGUGGCCACCAAAACGCGCAUAAGCAAGAGCGUGCCGUCGCCAAGCGCCUCCGGGAGACCGCUGCUGCCACGGCGCACUCUUGGAAGGCAGGGAGGGCUGCCACCACUGCUCAGAUCUCCGGGGAGCCUGCAACAGGCUCCGUGGCGCACAUGCGCGGCAGGAGCUCGUCGGAGCGCGACCACGAGCUCGACUUGGCUCUCCGGCUGUAA